UUCGCAAUGCCCGAAAGGGUGACGAUGCGACGCCGCGUGAGCGAAGAAGGCCCUAGGGUUGUAAAGCUCUGUCGAGGGUUAUGAAAUAUAGAUGGGUUAAUACCCCAUUUAUUUGACAAGAGCCCAAAAGGAAGCCACGGCUAACUCUGUGCCAGCAGCCGCGGUAAUACAGAGGUGGCGAGCGUUGUUCGGUAUUAUUGGGCGUAAAGAGCACGUAGGUGGUUUUGUAAGUCAGGUGUGAAAGCCUUCUGUUCAAAGGAAGAACGGCAUCUGAAACUGCAGAUCUUGAGUGUAGGAGGGGAGAGUGGAACUUCUGGUGGAGCGGUGAAAUGCGUAGAUAUCAGAAGGAACGUCGGCGGCGAAAGCGACUCUCUGGCCUAUUACUGACACUGAGGUGCGAAAGUUAGGGGAGCAAACGGGAUUAGAUACCCCGGUAGUCCUAACCGUAAACGAUGGGCACUAAGUAGAGGGGUUUU
rnacentral:rRNA from 1 species